rnacentral:misc_RNA from 1 species
UACGUAGGUGGCGAGCGUUGUCCGGAAUUACUGGGCGUAAAGGAUGCGUAGGCGGAUGUUUAAGUCAGAUGUGAAAUCCCCGGGCUCAACCCGGGAAUUGCAUUUGAAACCGGAUAUCUAGAGUGCAGGAGAGGAAAGCGGAAUUCCUAGUGUAGCGGUGAAAUGCGUAGAUAUUAGGAAGAACACCAGUGGCGAAGGCGGCUUUCUGGACUGUAACUGACGCUGAGGCAUGAAAGCGUGGGGAGCAAACAGG